GAAGGAAGUUGGGGUAGAAGGUCCUAGAGCAUCCUGCAGUCUAAAGAAGGUUCAGCAAAACUAUCGUGCACAAAGAAGAGGUCAUGUGACACACACAGUGAGAUGGUGGCUGGCUGCGGGCCAAGAGGGGAGGCCUGAGAAUAAAACCUAUCUUGCUGGCACCUUGAUCUUGGACUUUCCAGCCUCCAGAAUGAAUAGUUCACUUUUCAAAGAGUAACAACACUUGCAAGUCCAGAGGAGAGAGUUACCGAUGUUACUGAUGUUAUCAAUCAGAGAAACGGAUGUUGAUGCGACGGAGAUCACAUCAAUGUAUGGUAGGAAAUAUUUGGAUUCUAGGUCUGAU